rnacentral:rRNA from 1 species
UACGGGAGGGUGCGAGCGUUGUCCGGAAUCACUGGGCGUAAAGGGCGCGUAGGCGGCCUGAUAAGGUGAGGGGUGAAAUCUUGCGGCUUAACCGCAAGGCUGCCUUCUAAACUGUCAGGCUAGAGCACAGUAGAGGCAGGUGGAAUUCCCGGUGUAGCGGAUGGAAUGCGUAGAGAUCGGGAAGAACAUCAGUGGCGAAAGCGCUCUGCUGGACUGCAACUGACACUGAGGGACGAAAGCUAAGGGGGAG